rnacentral:rRNA from 1 species
AGAAUCAACGCUGGCGGCGUGCCUAACACAUGCAAGUCGAACGAGAAAGUGGAGCAAUCCAUGAGUAAAGUGGCGACCGGGUGAGUAACACGUGACUAACCUACCUUCGAGUGGGGGAUAACCUCGGGAAACCGAGGCUAAUACCGCAUAACAUCGCAAGAUCAAAGCAGCAAUGCGCUGGAAGAGGGGGUCGCGGCUGAUUAGCUAGUUGGCGGGGUAAUGGCCCACCAAGGCGAAGAUCGGUAGCCGGCCUGAGAGGGCGCACGGCCACACUGGAACUGAAACACGGUCCAGACUCCUACGGGAGGCAGCAGUGGGGAAUUUUGCGCAAUGGGGGAAACCCUGACGCAGCAACGCCGCGUGGAGGAUGAAGCCCCUUGGGGUGUAAACUCCUUUCGAUCGGGAAGAUAAUGACGGUACCGAUAUAAGAAGCCCCGGCUAACUUCGUGCCAGCAGCCGC